UUUUUUUUUUUUUCUCCAGACUAUAUGAGAAAACUCCUUCAUAAAAGCUUACAGCUGUGUUAAGCAGGUCACAUGUUUCAGAAUAACCAAGUCUAAGCUUCUCCACCCUUGGUUGAGUCCCCUGAUGCUGGUAAGGAAAUCCCUGGUGUGUGGAAUGACAGAGCCCUGCACAGAGGCACAUGAGGCACUGAAAAAUUUAUCUCCUCUUCUGAAGAAGCUGCUGCAGCAGAGGUUUGAUGUAUUAUGUAGUAAUGCACAAGCCCUCCCACCAGUCAGUGGCUACUCCAGCCCUAUCAGAAGGACCAAUAACCACAUCACCCCUGUACUGCAGAGCCAGCUCAGACAUUAACUCCCAAGGGCUGAACCACAACACUGAACUUUUACAUGAAGAAAUAAUCUGAAGUGCUGUGGGCGGUAAAAUACAGCAAGGCUGUUGUGGGAGAGGAUUGGUGACACAUCUACCUGGAAUAGCUGUGGGUCUCAGGCAGUGAAGCAGGACACAGAUUGCAGCUGCUCUGCAUAGCGGUGACCAAGUUUAGCAGAGAAGAUAAGGUGCCAUGUCUCAAAUACUGCUUUUUAUUAGCACAUCUGUGUGUGGAUCCAGGGAAAGAGAGUUCGUGAUGAUCAACAAUUCAGUGGAAAAGUUAGAGUAUCUGUUCUGACAUUUCCAGAAGCCAAGGAAAAGAAAUCAUAACAAUUGUAGGUGUUCAGUGAAGGCAUAAAGCCCACCAUAAAUUAGUCCGGGUGCAUCCCUCUCUGGAUGCUGAACCAUAAUCCCUAAGUGCCCAGCACUCGCAGAGCCUUAAUCCUUUUCAACAAUGGGAUGAGCUGGAGGCUAUAUCCUUUCAAGAUUUGCAUAACACCCUAGCACACAUGUCUUUUGGGAGGAUAAGGGCUGCUUAGUAUGUUCUGCAUUCACAUUUUUACAGCCAUUUGGUUUAUAUCCACGUCUCUCUCCCCAGUGGGAAAUCCCAAGCUCCAGACAUUGCCCUCAACACACCACCAUGCUGCUUAUGAGCUUCCCAGCUGGCUCAGCCCAGCAGAAAACACUUCUGCACUCACGUCCUGGGUGCAGCCCUUGCCCUGUCACACAAUGCAUCUUCUUGGGGCCACCCUAUUGUGACCCCCCAAACACACACAGGUUUGGUGUCCCCUAAAGAUACAGCAGCAGAAACGUGUAAGAAGAUGAGAACUGGGACAGCUGUGUGGAGAAGGACAAUGGCCAACUGAUAUCUCAUGGAAACCAAACCACAGCAUCCUGGUGUGAGGCUGGCUCACCAAUUGAUGAACCUUGCCUCACUCUUUAUUGGUCUUUCUACGCUACAUCCUUACCUUAAGGGUGAUCACCACAGAACUCCACAGUCAAUGCUCCAUUGCUGCAGCACUACACCAUUCCAUGUUUCAACUGGGUCAGCUGGAUACUGCAUCCACUGGAAUGAAGUUUAUUUUGAAACAAAACUGUUUUCUGGUGAAGUUCAUAUUUCCUUUGAAAGGGAGACGCAAUCCUGACAUCAGCCUUCCGCACUUUAAUUACUCUCAGUGUUUUCUUCAUGCCAGCAAUCUCCCAUGGAUGUAACAAUCAAUUCUCAGGACAAGGAUAGGUGAACAACUAACACAUCCGAACUGAAAAGAGAAAAAAGGUACGAAACAGAGAAAAAAACCUACAAUGAAAAUUAGCCCAAGCUUUAGUUGUCAGCCGAUAUCUUUGCUUUUUUCUUUUCCCAUCAGCUGUUUCCUUGACCUUCUUUUGCAAGCCCUAUAGCAGCUUCAUCUGCAAACUGAUAGAUGCACAGAGGUCCCCUGGCUCUUCUUCAGUAUUACAAGGCACUUGUGUCCAGCUGCAAAGAUUUUCAUUUUGCCAGGGACACAGUCCAACAUUAUUAACUGUGGUGUUUUCAAUAUAACUUUUAGCCUCAUGGCACUUUUACAAAUCUACAGUAGAAACACUGUGAAGUCCACACACUUUACAUGAUGAUAUGGAUCAUCCCCUAACCCCCUACAUGGGAGAAUAGGGUUAUAACAAGGAAGUGAAGAAGAAUCUUGGAAAUGUAACAACAUUUGAGUCAGACUGGACAUUAUUAAAGUCUGUCCCAAAAACA
ensembl:lncRNA